rnacentral:lncRNA from 1 species
UUCUGAAAUACUUUUUUUUUAUAAAAUAGGGAUCAGAAUCAAAUCUUGUUGAUCCUCUUCUUACGUUGACAGCCAAUCAAACAUAAAGUUUCAUGUUGCAAAAUAAUCCUAUUAUUUAUAUUUAUCUUAAUCAUAUUUUUAAUUUUUGUUUGGUGUUUUUUGAGAUGUAAAUAUCAAUGUACUCGAGUUUUAGUUCUAGAGAUUUUUUUUUUCUUAUAUACAGGAUAAAGAUGAUGGUAAAUUGCAUUAAGAUAAGGUAAAAGAUUUGUAGUUGGAAGCUUUUUUCCCUUUACAUCUUAAGCUGACAAUAAAC